GACGAACGCUGGCGGCGCGCUUAAUACAUGCAAGUCGAGCGAGAACCUGGGCUUCGGCCCAGGGGACAGCGGCGAACGGGUGAGUAACACGUGGGUAAUCAACCCCCGACACCGGGAUAGCCCAGGGAAACUUGGAUUAAUACCGGAUGCCCCAUCCGGCUUUCGAGCCGGCUGGAAAAGGGUAGCUUCGGCCUCUGGUCGGGGACGAGCCCGCGGCGGAUUAGCGUGUUGGUAUGGGUAAUGGCCUACCAAGGCGACGAUCCGUAGCUGGUCUGAGAGGAAGAUCAGCCACACUGGGACUGAGACACGGCCCAGACUCCUACGGGAGGCAGCAGUAGGGAAUCUUGCGCAAUGGGCGAAAGCCUGACGCAGCGACGCCGCGUGAGGGAAGAAGGCCUUCGGGUUGUAAACCUCUUUCAGGAGGGACGAAGCCACUCGGGUUAAUAGCCUAGAGGGUGACGGUACCUCCAGAAGAAGCCCCGGCUAACUACGUGCCAGCCGCCGCGGUAAUAC
rnacentral:rRNA from 1 species